GACGAACGCUGGCGGCGUGCCUAAUACAUGCAAGUAGAACGCUGAAGAGAGGAGCUUGCUCUUCUUGGAUGAGUUGCGAACGGGUGAGUAACGCGUAGGUAACCUGCCUGGUAGCGGGGGAUAACUAUUGGAAACGAUAGCUAAUACCGCAUAAUAGCAGUUAUUGCAUGAUAACUGUUUGAAAGGUGCAAAUGCAUCACUACCAGAUGGACCUGCGUUGUAUUAGCUAGUUGGUGGGGUAACGGCUCACCAAGGCGACGAUACAUAGCCGACCUGAGAGGGUGAUCGGCCACACUGGGACUGAGACACGGCCCAGACUCCUACGGGAGGCAGCAGUAGGGAAUCUUCGGCAAUGGACGGAAGUCUGACCGAGCAACGCCGCGUGAGUGAAGAAGGUUUUCGGAUCGUAAAGCUCUGUUGUAAGAGAAGAACGAGUGUGAGAGUGGAAAGUUCACACNGNGACGG
rnacentral:rRNA from 1 species